rnacentral:lncRNA from 1 species
ACGUAUUUGAUCUUUGUCGCCCUCGGGUGCAGUGAAUCUCUGUGAAAGAAGUGCACGCUGUGUGGAGCUGCUCCUGACCCUGGAUCAAUCGCUGCUGACUCAGCCUCCUCCGAAGAACGGCAGCCAAUCUCUGUCUGGUCUCAUUUACUGAAGACGCCUUGCCCCUGGGAGAAUUUGGUGCGGCGGCGAGCACUGGCACACCUGAGUUGCUGGUCCUCUUGGGCUUAUCUGAGGUUGGGGAAGUGAUGGGGUUUGAUGCUCUGUGCAGGCUGGGAAUUCUGAUUCCUUUUUCAGAGUUCAGUCUUACAGGGCUUCACUCUCUAUGAUUACCGACGGCUGCGACAGAAGAGGUUAGGCUGCCCUUGCUGUGGGGACAUGAUGACAACGAGACAGUUGGGUUCCUUUCAAUUUCAAAAACAGUGGAAGAAGUGAGAGAAGGCUUUGCUGAGUAACUUGAUCAUUCUGAAGACAUAAUAAAACCAACCAAGGCAGACAUAACUGAAAAAACACAGAAACAGAGGAUAAUAUUCCCUCAGGUUGAGAAACUUCAAAAGCACAUUUUCAGGAUGGGGAGGAAGAGCCUUUGAAGACAAAGUAUUCAUGGUGGAAACCAACAGCCUGAGCUCCUUCUGCCUGUGCCCCAUGGCCAAGAUUCUCAGCUCAUCAUCCUCUGCCUGCCACCCAAGCCUAGGAAUAGUCCCUGUUCUGUUCCUUCAUCAUCCCUCCCCUGUACCUCAUGGGAUGGAGACUAGAGAAAUUCUUUUCAUUCCCUUGCCCUUUGGAAGAUACACCAGUGUUUUAAUUUUGUUAUGCCCUAAAGCUGAGAACCACUUGCUUGGUAAUUUACUAUCUCACAGACAGAAUUACCAGAGAAAUGUGUGCUGUUUUCUCUAUGCUGACUGAACAUGCAAAUAUAAUAAAUAUUUAUUCUCAAACCAAGGAAAAUAAGCUAUUUGUGUUUAUAAAUAUUAUGUAUUCUUUGUUUCAUUUUGUAGUUUAUAUAAAAACAUCCUUCCCAA